GAAUAUGAGUGAGAGUGUGUGUAAAUGUUGUCUGUUGUGUGAUUGAGUUGUUAGGGGAAAAAACUACACCGUGAUCUUAUUUGAUCAGAUUGGAGACUGGCCUUGCUUCAAUUCUGAAAUGAUAUAACCCGACAUGCGAGCCUACUGGGCGAUGAGCAAGAGGCAUUUCGUUAACGUUAACUCAAGGCCGCCACAAAAGCUUGUGGUCUAGAGAUGAUGAUUUGAUCAGAUAUACUAGUACCGGUAAAGCCAGGGUUUUACUUCUGGGUCUUCCGGUCGAUGAGUAUAGAGGCGAUUCUGAUCUGA